CUCGCACUGUAUCUUUAAAAGAGAAGGGCCGACAACUUAACAGCAAAAACUUUGUUCGAGACAGGCCUGCUCAAGACAUCUCGGCCUGCUGUCCUGACAUGGAGAGGUGCAUUAAGCCAUUAAAGUCUCCCACUGUUCAGUUUUUGAUGUCGGCAUGUGUGAGAUGUGUCACUCCAUCUAUGAUUGAUGUCUCCCCCUAGGACUUGACUCAUCUUUCACCUGCAGCCUGCCUCACAGCUGUUCAGUGAGCUCAGCACAGACCCACAUGCAUGAACACACAGCUCUGCACACCAUAAUAUAAGCUCCUCAGAUGCUUUGUGGGUUUUGGAGAGUCCGAGGGCUGAUGUAUCACAUGGCUCUGUCUCCUCAUGAAUCAUCUCGCACCCAGUGUCGUUCUCUCUGUUGAGUUUCUUCCUCUGCGUAGUCGUUCUACUUCUUUAUGGAUUGGGAGGAGAUUCAGGAGUGACAGAUCCAUCCAGAUGCUUGCUUUGCUUCCUUUUUGCCUCUUUGUAUGAGAAUCAAUGCUUUUAUUCAAUGUAUGUCCCACCCUUUAUUGCCAUUCCCAAGAGCACAGAAAUAAA